AGAAAUGAGGCCAGGUGCAGACGGGGCCAACUGAAAAGAAGAAAGAAGAAAAGAAUGACAGGCAACAUUGAUUGAGUGAAAGGAUGAGAAGCUGCAGUCAGUCAGGAGGUGAUUCUGACUAAGGAAGUACAGGAAGGAUUAAAUUACUUCUGAUGGAGAGAGAAUUCAGUUUCUCAGAGAGAAGACAGGACAUCAUUCAUCACUUUUGUGAUGAGUGUUCAUCUCUGACUUCUCACUGGGCCAAGGGCCCGCAGAUACCACCAUGCUGACGUUUGUGGCAGAAGAGCUGGAGCCAGGGACUGGGGAGAAAAAAACCCAAACACAUGAUGGGUUAAUAACUGGUGAAAUCAAAUAGGUUGAAUCAGGACUGAGGGAUGUCACUGACAGCCUUGUCCACUGAUUCGAAGAUGCUGUUUCCCUGGUUUCACUCUUCUCAUCUCCACUCUUGAUCUCCUGUAAGUCAACUUGUCUGAGCUACGCAGUCACCUUGAAACCAGAACACAAACACUUCCACCCUUUUCUUGCUUACAAGUUUCUAUAAAGCAAGGCUGGGCUCUGAACUUUUUACCCCAUGAGUGGCCAAUGUUUCUGUGUAGCUCGAGACUGU